AUCCGGCUGACGAAUCCAAAAUAGGACGAAACGCACAUCCUGGAU
rnacentral:hammerhead_ribozyme from 1 species